CGGUAAACGGCGGCCGUAACUAUAACGGUCCUAAGGUAGCGAAAUUCCUUGUCGGUAAGUUCCGACCUGCACGAAUGGUGUAACGACUUGAGCGCUGUCUCGGCCGUGAGCUCGGUGAAAAUUGUAGCCCCGGUGAAGAUGCCGGGCACCCGCAUCGGGACGAAAAGACCCCGUGAACCUUCACUGCAGUUUUGACGUUGACGGCGUGCGCGGCGUGUGUAGCAUAGGCGGGAGGCUGCGAUCCCGGGUCGCCAGGCCCCGGGGGGUAGUCCGACGGUUGAAAUACCGCCCUCGCCGCGCGUGCCGCCUAACCCCCUAACGGGGAACCGCGUCUGACGGGCAGUUUGACUGGGGUGGUCGCCUCCAAAAGCGUAUCGGAGGCUCCCAAAAGGUGUCCUCAGCACGGUUGGCAAUCGUGCGCAGAGUGCAAUGGCACAAGGACGCUUGACUGCGAGACCGACGGGUCGAGCAGGCGCGAAAA
rnacentral:rRNA from 1 species